rnacentral:rRNA from 1 species
GACGAACGCUGGCGGCGUGCUUAACACAUGCAAGUCGAACGGAAAGGCCCUGCUUUUGUGGGGUGCUCGAGUGGCGAACGGGUGAGUAACACGUGAGUAACCUGCCCUUGACUUUGGGAUAACUUCAGGAAACUGGGGCUAAUACCGGAUAGGAGCUCCUGCUGCAUGGUGGGGGUUGGAAAGUUUCGGCGGUUGGGGAUGGACUCGCGGCUUAUCAGCUUGUUGGUGGGGUAGUGGCUUACCAAGGCUUUGACGGGUAGCCGGCCUGAGAGGGUGACCGGCCACAUUGGGCCUGGGCUACGGCCCAGACUCCUACGGGAGGCAGCGGUGGGGAAUAUUGCACAAUGGGCGGAAGCCUGAUGCAGCAACGCCGCGUGGGGGAUGACGGCCUUCGGGUUGUAAACCGCUUUCGCCUGUGACGAAGCGUGAGUGACGGUAAUGGGUAAAGAAGCACCGGCUAACUACGUG